UUAGCAGCCCUGGAGACCAAAGACCUCUGGUUAUCCACAUAAGAAGUAGAGGCAGUACACUCCUCCCACACUGCACCAACAAAAAUUCUUCUCCAGAGGGACCACACUUUGGAGGAAUAUGAGGGUAGCUCUGUCUUCAUGCCCAUUCAGUCCUUGGCCUUU
rnacentral:sRNA from 1 species